UGCGCAGUGCUGACUGAGCCAGCGGGAAGCAGAAUCUCUGGAGGGCCAUGCAGAGCCUUGGGGACUGACCAAGUUCCCCCACUGAGGGGUCCCAGGCUGGACCGACAGGAGAGCCUGGGAGGAGUUCUGACCCUGGAGAGGAGGUUGGCCCAGCCAGGGAGACAUGUCCUGCUUCAGAGAGGCCUUUCUAAAAACAAAACCCAUCCCUGAGGAAGCAAGACAUCUGGUGACUGCUCCGUUCUACCCCAAUUCUCACUCACUCUGGCCAGUGAAGCCCCUUCAGGAACAACGCCAGCCAAGCAGUUUGGUUUGGGGAAAAGAUGAUCUGUUGACU